GAAACAAAAGAAGAAACAGUGAUAUUAGCCAAAUACAGUAAGAGCAGAAGACCUGAAUAAACAAUUAGCUAUGGAAAUCUUACAGGUUCUUGAAUACUAUU
rnacentral:sRNA from 1 species